AUUGAACGCUGGCGGCAGGCCUAACACAUGCAAGUCGAACGAGUGGCGGACGGGUGAGUAAUGUCUGGGAAACUGCCCGAUGGAGGGGGAUAACUACUGGAAACGGUAGCUAAUACCGCAUACCAUCGGAUGUGCCCAGAUGGGAUUAGCUAGUAGGUGGGGUAACGGCUCACCUAGGCGACGAUCCCUAGCUGGUCUGAGAGGAUGACCAGCCACACUGGAACUGAGACACGGUCCAGACUCCUACGUGAGGCAGCAGUGGGGAAUAUUGCACAAUGGGCGCAAUCCUGAUGCAGCCAUGCCGCGUGUAUUAAGAAGGCCUUCGGGUUGUAAAGUACUUUCAGCGGGGAGGCGUUACUCGCAGAAGAAGCACCGGCUAACUCCGUGCCAGCCGCCGCGGUAAUUC
rnacentral:rRNA from 1 species